rnacentral:rRNA from 1 species
AGACGUCUACAUUAGAUACCCGGGUAGUCCCAGCCGUAAACUAUGCGCGUUAGGUGUACUGGUGACCACGAGUCACCGGGGUGCCGAAGGGAAACCGUGAAACGUGCCGCCUGGGAAGUACGGUCGCAAGGCUGAAACUUAAAGGAAUUGGCGGGGAGCACCACAACAGGUGGAGCCUGCGGUUUAAUUGGACUCAACGCCGGGAAGCUCACCGGAUAGGACAGCAGAAUGAUUGCCGGGCUGAAGACCCUGCAUGACUAGCUG